CAGAGCAGAGGUCGAAAGGGGGAAAACUAAGGAUAUAAAGAGCAAAAAAAAAGCAAAAAGAAAUGAGUCCUAGAACUGGAAAGAGCGAGGUUUAAAAGAACUGCGGACACCAUUACUCGCGCUUUGUACUCGGAGCCUGAUGCUGAGAAUCUUGUCACCCAAACCAAGUUUGUAAGCUUGCAUUUUUCAUCGUGAAUACCACACCACAUGCGCUCCCGGAGUGUGGAUGCGAGAGGGACCGUUGUGCCCGAGCAGAACUCACGCGGUCGGAUGUUGUGAAAAGUGGUAUCGGAACAGCGGGCAAGCGUGCGAUCGCGUGCGUGAGUGAGUGUGAGUGUGAGUGUGAGUGGGGCCGUGGUCGCACAUCACUACGAUGCCGAUGUUAUUUUUUUUACUUGUGUGUGUGUGCGCGUGUGUUUGCUCCUUCUUCAACUUAGGCGAUGAUCGAAGCGCGUGUUCGAUGUGUUUCUGUGCUGCUGAGCGCAAAUACGCAAAGAACUUUACAUUGUUAGUGGUGUGUGUCGGUCGAGUGUUAAUGUGAGACUUGAUCUCUGCUGUUUCUCACACACGUGCGUGAGCGUGCGUGCGUGUGUGCGUGCGGACGUUUGUUUCUUGUAGGUGCGUGUGAGUUCUGAGCAUAACUCUACAGAGUUGGAGACAGGGAUAGCGAGAGUUGUUGUACUCGCAGGGUCAAAGGAUUUGAUUUUCUUGUGUGUCCUCAUAAUAUGUAGUCGAAUAUUCUCAAGAUGUAGAAGUAGGUUUAAACUUCAAAGUGUAUGUGGUGAAUGUCCCUAAAAAGGCCAGUGAAUCUCACCACAGGGACCAUGUGACACAACAGACUACCUACUUGUAGUACAGUUAGUAGUCUUUGACUUCUUUUGCGUACUGUUUUGGAAAAAACAAAUACGAGCCAGCAAGCCACUAUUUUCGUCGUAUUGUUUCGGAAACCAAAGACCAAACUGCAAGUCGUGCAUUGUGUAUGUGAGUUUGUGUGUGCCUGUGGCCGUAUAAAAGUCGAAUUACAAUUCUGUUCAGGAGAGGGAUAAAUGGUACAGCGUGAAGAAGAAAGAACAAAAACAAGAAAACUUUCAACUUUUCUGGGACUCAGGCUUUUCGCCUGGAGACCCAAUUCUGUGAGAAGCGAACAAUGUUCAGUAAGAAACUGUCAACUGCAGACUACUCCGGAGGAAACUUUCUGACACUCUGCUGUGGUUUUUUCGGAACUAAAGGGAGGCAACGCCGUAGUUCUGAUGACACUAACACAGAAUUGAAAGGAGACAAUCAUGCUGAGGAGGAAAAAGGAGAGAAAGAAGAGGAGGAGGACGGGAAGCCAGUAGUCAAUGGCGGACCGAAGACAACUUCCCCGACACCGGAAGUUGGUACAGAGGAUAUUGGGUACGCUCAAAUUGCUGACGGGGAGAAGGGCGCCGAGAAAAGCAAAACGAAA